AUGAACGCUGGCGGCGUGCCUAAUACAUGCAAGUCGAGCGAACGGACGAGAAGCUUGCUUCUCUGAUGUUAGCGGCGGACGGGUGAGUAACACGUGGAUAACCUACCUAUAGACUGGGAUAACUUCGGGAAACCGGAGCUAAUACCGGAUAAUAUUUUGAACCGCAUGGUUCAAAAGUGAAAGACGGUCUUGCUGUCACUUAUAGAUGGAUCCGCGCUGCAUUAGCUAGUUGGUAAGGUAACGGCUUACCAAGGCAACGAUGCAUAGCCGACCUGAGAGGGUGAUCGGCCACACUGGAACUGAGACACGGUCCAGACUCCUACGGGAGGCAGCAGUAGGGAAUCUUCCGCAAUGGGCGAAAGCCUGACGGAGCAACGCCGCGUGAGUGAUGAAGGUCUUCGGAUCGUAAAACUCUGUUAUUAGGGAAGGACAUAUGUGUAAGUAACUGUGCACAUCUUGACGGUACCUAAUCAGAAAGCCACGGCUAACUACGUG
rnacentral:rRNA from 1 species